rnacentral:rRNA from 1 species
AUUGAACGCUGGCGGCAGGCCUAACACAUGCAAGUCGAGCGGAGCGGCGGACGGGUGAGUAAUGCCUAGGAAUCUGCCCGGUAGUGGGGGAUAACGUCCGGAAACGGGCGCUAAUACCGCAUACUAUCAGAUGAGUCUAGGUGGGAUUAGCUGGUUGGUGGGGUAAAGGCCUACCAAGGCGACGAUCCGUAACUGGCCUGAGAGGAGGAUCAGUCACACUGGAACUGAGACACGGCCCAGACUCCUACGGGAGGCAGCAGUGGGGAAUAUUGGACAAUGGGCGAAAGCCUGAUCCAGCCAUGCCGCGUGUGUGAAGAAGGUCUUCGGAUUGUAAAGCACUUUAAGUUGGGAGGCGGUACCAGCAGAAUAAGCACCGGCUAACUUCGUGCCAGCCGCCGCGGUAAUUC